UUAGUUAAUUAAUUAUUUUUAAUCAUUCUGUUUGACACCGAACAAGGGCAACAAAUUGUAGUUGUCAGUUGAAUUAGUCCCUUUCUUAUUCCAUGUGCAAUGAUUAUUUUUGACACUAUAGUAUUUCAGAUACCACUAUAAUAGACAAACAUUUAACAGCCAAUUUACAUGGUCAUGAAUAUACAUCAAUAAUGGUCGAAACAGCAAUUUUUAUUUCUAUACUCAUACAAAUCCAUUGAACCUUACACCCCAGACUAUUAUAUCCAUUUUUAAUUUCUUUCUUUUUUCAUCCAGUACGAUUAGUUCAAUGCAACAUUGGCUCUCAAAGACGUCAUUAAAUGUAGAUCCACUAUCAAUUGGUCGUAAACUACUAAAACAUAUGAUCUAUUAGUUGUAAAGUAACUAGUUCCCCUCUCAGACCUUGUGGUCUACUAGUGUACAUCAAUCUUUGUUCUUGGCUCAACAGAUCAGAGGGGGGGGGGGGGGG